UUCCAAGGUGAUCCUCUAAGGGGCCAACUAGUGUCUCCAACCCCCGCCCCCACCAGAAACAUAGCAACUUGGGAUAAACUCUGACAUGCCCAAGGUCUGCAAGGGUGCGGGGAUGUUUCCUUUUGACCUCUGACUACCUAUUAUA
ensembl:snoRNA